rnacentral:piRNA from 1 species
UAUUAGAAUAAAUCACGAGUGGAAGUCUGU